rnacentral:misc_RNA from 1 species
AAGUCGUAACAAGGUCUCCGUUGGUGAACCAGCGGAGGGAUCAUUACUGAGUUUACAACUCCCCAAACCCUUUGUGAACAUACCUAUUGUUGCCUCGGCGGCGUUACUCCAUAUCUGGCAGCUUAUAUGUCUGGAUUUAGAUGGCCCGCCGGAGGACUUAACUUCAAACUCUUGAUGUUUCCAAAAUGUAUUAUCUGAGUGAUUAAAAAUUAAAUCAAAACUUUCAACAACGGAUCUCUUGGUUCUG